UCAGCUCAGGCCUCGCUGAAGACACUGAUGUCUGGCCCUUCAUCUCCGUAGAAGGUAUUGAGUCCUGCGUGGCACCCACAAAGCAUCCACGCAUUGAUCUCUCUGGGAAACGUGUCAGCCGUGGCUGUGGAGAGGCUGGUUUCAUCUGAAGCGUCUGAGGGAACAUUCAGCAUGCAUGAACACACUCUCAUCCUGCUCUUCAGCGGCUAAUACCUCAUUAGCACGCUCUGCGGGGAGGUCACAUGAUAGAUGGCGGUGCGAAUGAAAAAUGAGAUGCUAUGGAGGGGAUGAGAGCCAUGAGAGGCCCUUCUGAAAUAAGCGUGAAGCUGCACAGAUGUGUGGACUCAAUAGAGAAACACCUGGAGAUAACUGC